AUUUUAUGUUGAUUCUUAGACUUUCAAAAUAUACAUAUUAGUCCCUAUAUUGUCCAAGUCCUUUUCAUUUUGGUUCCGAAACUCUUAGAAAAUGACUAUUUGAGUUCUUGUUGUUAGGUAGACGUUAGUUGUCUAAGUCUAACAUAUGGACAUUAGGUUGCCUAAUAAUAUCAAGGAUCAAAAUGGUUAUCUUUUCAUGAUCGUGG
rnacentral:misc_RNA from 1 species